GAAGUCGGCCAGACAAUCGCUGUAUCAAUCAUUGAUACAGAGGAAAGUCCGGGCUCCAUAGAGCGGAGCGCCAGGUAACGCCUGGGAGGUGAAAGUCUUGAGAGAUAUAAGCCUAUGGAUAGUGCCGCAGAAAAUAUACCGCCUAAGUACGGAUUCCGUACCGGUAAGGGUGAAAUGGUGCGGUAAGAGCGCACCGCACAACAGGUAACUGUUUGUGGCAAGGUAAACCCCGCUUGGAGCAAGACCAAAUAGGAGAGCUACAGGAGCUGCUCGCUCUGCUCUCGGGUAGGUUGCUUGAGGUGCGUGGCGACAUGCAUCCCAGAUGAAUGGUUGUCCUCGACAGAACCCGGCUUAUCGGCCGACUUCCACC
rnacentral:RNase_P_RNA from 1 species